AUGUAUAGUUUUUUUUGUAAUCAAUCUGUUUUUUGUUUUCUAAGAAAGCGAAAAAAAAAAAAGGGUCUUUUUUUGAGUAAAAAGGCUAUAAUAAUACAUUUUCCAAAGAGGUCGCUUUACCGACGCAGACGAAAAGGUUAUGCUAUCGUUUAUCACCAAUAAAACCUUGACACGUCAUUUUAAUUGGAAAAUACGUAAUCGGUGAGAUUUGAGAUUUGGACAUUAAAAAAAAAGGAUAAAGACGGUGGUUGAGUUGAACAUCGUCUCCGGAGCUCCGGCGGAUCUGAACUGAUAAGGAGUGUUGCCUGCGAUUACUCUCGUACAAUUGGAUGAUCUCUCUCUCCAUGGGAAGUCGAGUUCUUGUGGCUUGAGAUUUCGACGAGAGAGUGAUGUAAAGAUUGCAGCUUUUGAUUGUGUCAUCAUCAGUAGUUGAGGAAUCCUGACAAGUAAAGGUGGUAACUUUGGAGAAGAAAAGACGAAGAAGCAGGCCCAAUAACAUAAUCUUAAUGACAAAAGAUUCGGCUUUGCAUUCCCCAGGGUUUGAUGGAUUGGUUUGAGAGAUGGUUAUGGCUCAUCGAGGCAAUGUUACGGGCUUAAGAUGGCUCAUGAAGGACGAACCCAACUCAUGAAGAAGCUCUCAGGUUUUGAAUCUUUCACUGCUAUAUUUAUAGAAAAGAACCAAUGCGGCUUUGUUACAAUUACAGUGGAUGGUUAAUCAAAAGUUAUUUCUCUUUAUUUUGUUAUUCAGUUUUAGAUCAUACAGUGUGUGCUACUAAUAAGUUCUAAUUACAAUACCCUUGUUAUUUAA